rnacentral:tRNA from 2 species
CGUAGCUCCGCCGGAUAGAGCACCGGCCUUCUAAGCCGAUGGUCACAGCUUCGAAUCCUGCCAA